rnacentral:rRNA from 1 species
GACGAACGCUGGCGGCGUGCUUAACACAUGCAAGUCGAGCGGUAAGGCCCUUUCGGGGGUACACGAGCGGCGAACGGGUGAGUAACACGUGGGUGACCUGCCCUCAGCUCUGGGAUAAGCCUGGGAAACCGGGUCUAAUACUGGAUAUGACUCCAUGACGCAUGUUGUGGGGUGGAAAGUCUUGUGCGGCUGAGGAUGGGCCCGCGGCCUAUCAGCUUGUUGGUGGGGUGANGGCCUACCAAGGCGACGACGGGUAGCCGGCCUGAGAGGGCGACCGGCCACACUGGGACUGAGACACGGCCCAGACUCCUACGGGAGGCAGCAGUGGGGAAUCUUGCGCAAUGGGCGAAAGCCUGACGCAGCGACGCCGCGUGAGGGAUGACGGCCU